GAUGAACGCUAGCUACAGGCUUAACACAUGCAAGUCGAGGGACCGGCGCACGGGUGCGUAACACGUAUCCAACCUGCCCUUUCCUCGCGGAUAGCCUUUCGAAAGAAAGAUUAAUACCCGAUGUAAAGGAUGGGGAUGCGUUCCAUUAGGUUGUUGGUGUGGUAACGGCUCACCAAGCCUUCGAUGGAUAGGGGUUCUGAGAGGAAGGUCCCCCACAUUGGAACUGAGACCCGGUCCAAACUCGUACGGGAGGCAGCAGUGAGGAAGAUUGGUCAAUGGGCGUUAGCCUGAACCAGCCAAGUAAGGUAAAAGAUGAAGGCUUAUGAGUCGUAAACUUCUUUUAUAUAAGAAGAUGUAUUAAAUGAAUAAGGAUCGGCUAACUCCGUGCCAGCCGCCGCGGUAAUUC
rnacentral:rRNA from 1 species